rnacentral:rRNA from 1 species
AUUGAACGCUGGCGGCAUGCUUUACACAUGCAAGUCGAGCGGCAGCGCGGGGGGCAACCCUGGCGGCGAGCGGCGAACGGGUGAGUAAUGCAUCGGAACGUAUCCUGUAGUGGGGAAUAACUCACCGAAAGGUGAGCUAAUACCGCAUAAGCUCUGAGGAGGAAAGCGGGGGACCGAAAGGCCUCGCGCUGCAGGAGCGGCCGAUGUCCGAUUAGCUAGUUGGUGAGGUAAAGGCUCACCGAGGCGACGAUCUGUAGCGGGUCUGAGAGGAUGAUCCGCCACACUGGAACUGAGACACGGUCCAGACUCCUACGGGAGGCAGCAGUGGGGAAUUUUGGACAAUGGGCGCAAGCCUGAUCCAGCCAUGCCGCGUGAGUGAAGAAGGCC